AGUGAACGCUGGCGGUAGGCCUAACACAUGCAAGUCGAACGGCAGCACAGUAAGAGCUUGCUCUUACGGGUGGCGAGUGGCGGACGGGUGAGGAAUACAUCGGAAUCUACUUUUUCGUGGGGGAUAACGUAGGGAAACUUAAGCUAAUACCGCAUACGACCUACGGGUGAAAGCAGGGGAUCUUCGGACCUUGCGCGAUUGAAUGAGCCGAUGUCGGAUUAGCUAGUUGGCGGGGUAAAGGCCCACCAAGGCGACGAUCCGUAGCUGGUCUGAGAGGAUGAUCAGCCACACUGGAACUGCAACACGGUCCAGACUCCUACGGGAGGCAGCAGUGGGGAAUAUUUGACAAUGGGCGCAAGCCUGAUCCAGCCAUGCCGCGUGGGUGAAGAAGGCCUUCGGGUUGUAAAGCCCUUUUGUUGGGAAAGAAAAUCAGCAGGUUAAUACCCCGCUGUUCUGACGGUACCCAAAGAAUAAGCAACGGCUAACUUCGUG
rnacentral:rRNA from 1 species